rnacentral:tRNA from 1 species
UCUGGGGAUGUAGCUCAGUGGAAGAGUGCUUACCUAGCAUGUACAAGGCCCUGGGUUCCAUCCCCAGUACAGAA